rnacentral:rRNA from 1 species
AGAGUUUGAUCCUGGCUCAGGACGAACGCUGGCGGCGUGCCUAACACAUGCAAGUCGAACGGAGAUUUCAGCAAUGAAAUCUUAGUGGCGAACGGGUGAGUAACGCGUAGACAACCUACCUCCUAGAUGGGGACAACACUGCGAAAGUGGUGCUAAUACCGAAUGUUGUAACGAUCAUGCAUAUGAUUGUUACUAAAGAUGGCCUCUAUUUAUAAGCUAUCGCUAGAAGAUGGGUCUGCGUCUGAUUAGCUAGUUGGUGAGGUAAUGGCUCACCAAGGCGACGAUCAGUAGCCGGUCUGAGAGGAUGAACGGCCACACUGGGACUGAGACACGGCCCAGACUCCUACGGGAGGCAGCAGUGGGGAAUCUUCCGCAAUGGACGAAAGUCUGACGGAGCAACGCCGCGUGAGUGAAGAAGGUUUUCGGAUCGUAAAACUCUGUUUUCAGGGACGAAUGUGCAGUAUGCAAAUAAUGUAUUGUAAUGACGGUACCUAGAGAAG